GAUGAACGCUGGCGGCGUGCCUAAUACAUGCAAGUAGAACGCUGAAGGAGGAGCUUGCUCUUCUGGAUGAGUUGCGAACGGGUGAGUAACGCGUAGGUAACCUGCCUGGUAGCGGGGGAUAACUAUUGGAAACGAUAGCUAAUACCGCAUGACAACAGUUAUUGCAUGAUAACUGUUUAAAAGGGGCAACUGCUCCACUACCAGAUGGACCUGCGUUUAUUAGCUAGUUGGUGAGGUAACGGCUCACCAAGGCGACGAUACAUAGCCGACCUGAGAGGGUGAUCGGCCACACUGGGACUGAGACACGGCCCAGACUCCUACGGGAGGCAGCAGUAGGGAAUCUUCGGCAAUGGACGGAAGUCUGACCGAGCAACGCCGCGUGAGUGAAGAAGGGUUUCGGAUCGUAAAGCUCUGUUGUAAGAGAAGAACGAGUGUGAGAGUGGAAAGUUCACACUGUGACGGUAUCUUACCAGAAAGGGACGGCUAACUACGUG
rnacentral:rRNA from 1 species